rnacentral:rRNA from 1 species
GACGAACGCUGGCGGCGUGCCUAAUACAUGCAAGUUGAGCGCUGAAGGUUGGUACUUGUACCGACUGGAUGAGCAGCGAACGGGUGAGUAACGCGUGGGGAAUCUGCCUUUGAGCGGGGGACAACAUUUGGAAACGAAUGCUAAUACCGCAUAAAAACUUUAAACACAAGUUUUAAGUUUGAAAGAUGCAAUUGCAUCACUCAAAGAUGAUCCCGCGUUGUAUUAGCUAGUUGGAGGUAAAGGCUCACCAAGGCGAUGAUACAUAGCCGACCUGAGAGGGUGAUCGGCCACAUUGGGACUGAGACACGGCCCAAACUCCUACGGGAGGCAGCAGUAGGGAAUCUUCGGCAAUGGACGAAAGUCUGACCGAGCAACGCCGCGUGAGUGAAGAAGGUUUUCGGAUCGUAAAACUCUGUUGGUAGAGAAGAACGUUGGUGAGAGUGGAAAGCUCAUCAAGUGACGGUAACUACCCAGAAAGGGACGGCUAACUACGUG